rnacentral:rRNA from 1 species
GAUGAACGCUAGCGGCAGGCCUAAUACAUGCAAGUCGAGGGGCAGCGCGGUAGCAAUACUGGCGGCGACCGGCGCACGGGUGCGUAACACGUAUGCAACCUACCUUCAACUGGAGGAUAGCCCGGGGAAACUCGGAUUAAUACUCCAUAACACAGGGAUCCCGCAUGGGAAUAUUGUUAAAGCUACGGCGGUUGAAGAUGGGCAUGCGUUCGAUUAGCUAGUUGGUGUAGGUAACGGCUCACCAAGGCUACGAUCGAUAGGGGGUCUGAGAGGAUGAUCCCCCACACUGGUACUGAGAUACGGACCAGACUCCUACGGGAGCAGCAGUAGGGAAUAUUGGUCAAUGGGCGCAAGCCUGAACCAGCCAUGCCGCGUGCAGGAAGAAGGCCCCUCUGGGGUUGUAAACUGCUUUUGAUAGGGACAAAUGCCACUUGCGAGUGGAGCUGAGUGUACCUAUAGAAUAAGCACCGGCUAAACUCCGUGCCAGCAGCCG